rnacentral:rRNA from 1 species
UACGUAGGUGGCGAGCGUUGUCCGGAUUUACUGGGCGUAAAGAGCGCGCAGGCGGUCGUUCAAGUCGCGUGUGAAAGCCCCCGGCUCAACUGGGGAGGGUCACGCGAUACUGAUCGACUCGAAGGCAGGAGAGGGAAGUGGAAUUCCCGGUGUAGUGGUGAAAUGCGUAGAUAUCGGGAGGAACACCAGUGGCGAAGGCGACUUCCUGGCCUGUUCUUGACGCUGAGGCGCGAAAGCGUGGGGAUCAAACAGG